UGAACCAGCCAAGUAGCGUGCAGGAAGACGGCCCUAUGGGUUGUAAACUGCUUUUGUAUGGGAAUAAAGUUGCGUACGUGUACGCAUUUGCAUGUACCAUACGAAUAAGGACCGGCUAAUUCCGUGCCAGCAGCCGCGGUAAUUA
rnacentral:rRNA from 1 species